rnacentral:rRNA from 1 species
AAGCGCUUGCAACCAGACUUGCACGCUGUUGAUCAUCCAGGCUUCUGUUUGGUGCACUCAACUGUGUUCAGGCCAGCAUCAGUCCGGGCGGUUGGAGAAAGACCUGUGUCAUGUAGCUGUUUUCGGGCAGUGUUAUAGGGCAGGUGGAAUGCAACCAGCCUGGACUGAGGUCCGCGCAUCUGCUAGGAUGCUGGCGUAAUGGCUGUAAGCGG